rnacentral:lncRNA from 1 species
CCUGUGGCUCCGGAUUACUGCGUACAACUACACUAGGGAUUUCUUCUGGGCAGGCUUCUCUGUCCAGGGACAUGCAGCAAUGCUGCAGGCAUUUUUAAUAGUUAUGCUGGGAGGGGUACUACUGGUAGCUCGUGGGUAGAGGCUGGAGUUGUUGCUAAACAUCUUACAAGGCACAGGGAACAACAAAGAAUACUCUGUUCUAAGGUACUGGUAGUGCCAAGUUUGAGAGACCUGGUUUAGGCCAAGCUCUCUCUUUCUCUAUCCCCUGAUGGUGUGGUUUGGAUAAGUGUUCUCCAAAGGCCCAUUUGUUAAAGGGUUGGUCCCCAGCCUGUGGAGUUGGUAGAACAUUUAGGAGGUGGGGCUUAUGGGAGGAAUUUAGCUCAUUGGAGGUGUGCCCUUGGGAGGGAUGGCUGGACCCUCUUCACCUUUCUUUUUUUGCCUCCUGGUUGCUGAAGGGUGAGCAACUUGUAACACCACACACUGCCCACCAUGAUGUGCUUCCCAAGGAAAUAGGACCAUCCAAUCAUGGACUGAAACCUCUAAAACUGUGAGUCCAAAUAAACCUUUUGUCUUUAUAAGCUGAUUAUCUCAGGUAUUUGUUACAGUAAUGGAAGACUAUCUAAUGCACCAAACUAUUUUUCUUUUAUCUUUUCCCCCUCCCAUAGUAGCAGAAAUGAGGCACCAAGAGUUGGUUGGUAGGAGGACAGAUGCUGGUACACAGGGCUCUUGAUCUGGGUCCUAGGGAAUCCCCAGCAUCACAGAUGGGAGGGUAGCAGGUAUUCCCCAUCCUUCCUCCAGCACAGCUCAGCAGAGGAAUAUAAAUGUCAGGACACAAGCCACAAUCCAGAAACCACCCCCACCUCCCAUGAAGUUCCUCCACACAAGAGUUUCUUUUGUGUUUCAUGAAAAUUUAGGGAAAAUUCAUACACUUGUCAGAACCUGAGGACGGGUCCAAGAGACAAAGGAAAUGCUGAACCCAGCAAGAAUUCUGCAGCUGACCCUCGGCCAGCAGUGGAGGAGGUCUUCAAAGCAUGGGGUGUCAGAGGGGAGCAUCUUGCAAUGAGAUCGGGUUUCUUACACAACCACGAGAGGACCCUGAACAGUUCCUGAAAGUCUCAUCAGUCAGUAAAAAGUACUUUACACUGAGCAGAAGCCACAGCUUAAAGGUACAAGGACUAACUGUGGUGACUUCUCCUUAGUCUCCUGAGGGGCUCUUUUUAUCCCCAGUAGAUACAGACGUGGAAAGACACUGGCCAGGGAAUGAGUGGUCGAAGAAUAAAUGAACUGCACAGAGAAGCUGAAGCCAGAAGCUGACCUUUGUUCUUUGUUUCAUUGUUAAACCACCCAAUUGUUUUAUAGUUGUUCUUUGCUGACCCUUGGCCUCCUUGGCUGGUGGUGUCACCUCCCUCCUUUCUCCUAUCCAGCCCCAUUCUGCAUUCCUGAAUUUAUUUGUGGGUGGAUUCACUCCACCUUGGAAAUGGGGUGACACCCUUGCUCCUUGGGUGUAGCCUUGGGACUACCUGCAAAAACAAACAAACAAACAAAAAAAACCCUUCCUUUUCCUGUGUCCCACACUCCUGGCACUUCCUGAAUCGGUGACCUCUGGGCCCUUCUUGAGCCUGUCCAACCUCUACAGGGAGAAGGGUUCCUUUCUGCACGUUUCUGCUGAUCCCGAGUCCUGCAGCCUACGCUGACACAGAUUUCACACACAUGGAGAGACUCCGUUAGUUGGCAAACCGUAGGCGAUCAUUUAUUCACUUCUCGGCUUGUAAUCUAUUUGUGACUGUGGCUUAUUUUUGCCCAUUUUUAUGUGUUUUUUUUUUUUUUUUUCCAUUCGUUGGCUUAACAGGGGAUGAGCAAACAGAACUCAAACAAGCACCAUCCAUUUUGUCAUUAGGACAUGUGAAAGGCAGAGUUGGGGAGGAGGUGGGAGCUCCUGGAACAUGAGACUAGAGGAGAAGCUGUGGGCUGUCACGCACGGCUGAGACUCCACUCGGUCUGCGUAAUGGUGGGCUGAGAGCCAGACUUCUGGCCUCCAAAGAUGUCCAGAUGUCAAGGAUUGAGAGGCACUUGGGAAUCCCCAGCCCUCUGAUCCGGGAGGGCAGCCGGGACCCUUCUCCCCUUGGUCACCCUGGUUUUCCCAGGCUGUUGUGGGAGAUGGAUCUGCCUUGCUCCACUGGGUGUGCUGGGUAUCUGCUUAACGGCCCCCCAGACAACAGUCUCGGCCCGGCCCCCCAGACAACAGUCUCGGCCCUUGGAAGUGGAAAGUACGGUGUCUGAAAGCUGAGAACCAGAGACUUCUCUUAGAAAAGAGGGAGCGCACCCUGCACCUGACCUGAAGCUGGAUGGGUCUCCUCGGUGUCCUCCAGCAGUGGGCACACACCUUUGGUCAUAGUAAGAGCCGGAUACGAGGUGACAACCACAGCAGCCACUGAGUGUGUUCAUGGGGGGGACCUGUCCCCCAGAGCGGCCUGGUCCAAGCACAGGACCGUUCCCUACACCAACGAAUUACAGAUGAAGUCCUUUGUUGAUGGGGAGAGCUGCGUCUUCAGGGAGCUGAGGGGUAGCUUGAAAAAACUGGUUUCCUUUCCGCUUCCUGCUCUUGUCAUUAUUUUACUUAUAAAGCAAUAUAUUCAAUGUCCUUUUAAGUUAGACAAAGCCCAGAGUUGAAGGAUCUGUUUCAAGGUGCAGUGGGUUUUCUCAGAUCACUCGGGAGGGCGCUGUGGAGUCUCGCAGGCUCCUGGCUCUCAGCUCAGCAGCAGCCCUGCGCUGCGUGAGGAGGGGGCAGCUGCGCAUCGGCUCAGCCUCUGCGGCUCAGCCUCUGCGGCUCGGCUCAGCUCAGCAGGGCCGUGAACUGAGAAGCAGAGGAGGCUUCCCUGCUGCCGUGCAGCUGAGGUGCACCCCCCCCCACCCCACGCAGGUAGCUCCUGCAGCUGGACCGCCGGGUGACCUGCUAUGCAACGUGGCCUGGUCAGACGCCAGGACCGUGCAGACCCCCGCGUGCAAACACCGCGGUCCACGGGGAGGAAGCGCCCAGGGCCCAGUUCUGCAGGCGUGUUUACUGAUCCAGCACAUCGCCUUAGCUGGAUCUGAACGAAAACAUUUUUGGACGAGGAUGAACAUUACAGAUGCUUUCAUGAAACCACUUCGGAGCCCAUUUGGCCCAGCUUCUCCACGGGACACGGGGCUCCUCCAGUGGCUGUAGGAGGGCGGUGUGCUCCUGGCGUGGAACUGAGGCCAAGCAUGUCAUCUGGGAACCACAUCUGGCUCUUUCUGCACCAUCCUCGGUCCCUGUUGCUUGUGUUUUGAUUCUGAGAGCUGAUUCCGUGUUUUGGCCGAGGGUGCAAAAGCCAUUUUUAGUGGGCACAAAAGAAAACCUGAUGUUCUGACUGCCCUUAUUUGUCUGGACUUUUUUUCCUAACACAGCUUCAAAACUUUGGGAGCCCAGAAACUUCUAGGAAGACAGACCGGGGUGGGGGUGGGGGGGCUUUAAUUGCACGCGAACGGAUCUUAAAACCAUCCAUCUUGCAGCUUGUCUAUGUUUGAGGACUGAGUGUGAAGCCUGGGACAUAAAAACCAAUCUGCGCAGCCGACUCGGGCCGCCAGGGCUGCAGCCAGCGCCCCGCCGCCACCGCUUCCCCCCCCACCCCGCCGGCCUUUUGGAAUGGCGUCUGCUGAGCCCUGGCGCUGGCUGCGGCUCCUGCAAACCAUCACUGCUCACUUUUGCACGCCUCACAUCAUCUACCGAAAAGAAAACACACUCAGGCGCUGGCGCUGCCCUCUCUGUCCUUCUGUGGCAAUUCUCUCUGAGUGUCCUCUCCCCCGCCCCAGCCCAGAAGGGUGGCCAGGGAAAGCCUGAGCGCCAGAUGUAAGGGGGGAGGGGUGGGGGCUGCAGUGUCCUCUGUCAUCCUACCCGGCUGCCCUCGCCCUCUGCCCUCUUUCCUUGGCACUUAUCUCAGUUCCUGACAGAUUUCCACACGCAGGGACUAGAUUCUGGCCCUCAGAGCGUGGCUGCUUCGGAGGGGGAAGGGCAUGUGCUGAUGAGGUUGGGCCUGGGGACCCAGGAGACUCCCUCUGCCAGGAGCCUCUCUGCCAGCUUCUGGGAGCCCCCCUUCCUCACAGGCUCCAGAGAUGCACAGAGCAGCCUCCCCACCCUUCACCUUCCCCCUCCAUUAGGAAAGCGGCUGUUUGCCUUCCUCUUUCAACACUUGGACAUUUAUCACACACCCAGGAGAGUUCAGAGGACCUUGGAGCUCCCCCUGGUUAGGACAUGGGGGAGACGAAGAAUUACGACGUCACUGCUCCCCAGAGGUGGUGGUGCAACUCGGAAAUGCAAUCCCACAUAAAAAGGUCUCCAUGGAUCUAUAUGUGACCGGUUUGUAAAAGCGCUCAGAGGGAUCUGGGCAUUACGCAUAGAUAAACCCAGGCCGGGUGUAAACAGUUGGGGGGAGGCAGAUGGGGUCCUGCAGGAGGAGGGAGCCCUCCGCCCACCUCCCUGGCAGGUGAGAGACUCUGUUGGGGCCUGGAACCAGGAAUGAAACAAGCCUUCCCCUCACCCUGUUUCCAGACCUUUCUCAGCAAGGGCUGGACGUGAACACAAUUCACACUCCAGACUUCUUGAACAGCAGUCUGUAUUUUACUGAAAAAGUUCUCUAAGGACGUGAAGGGUGAAAGUUUGGGUGUCAUGUGGAUCAACAUGGUGGAAACUUCUGGAAAAAAAAAUCCCCUUACUCAUUUGUGUCUCCAGUUCUCUGCCUCCUGGAGACUGCUUAGAAUCCCCCUCACCCCCACCCUACCUGGAGACUGAGGCACAACAAUCACAAGUUCAAGACCAGCCUGGGCAAUUUAGCAAGACUCUGUCUCAAAAUAAGUUGGAAAGAUCUGGGAACUCAAAGACCCGUCAAUGGUCAGCUCAUUUUGCUUGGUACAAAAAGUUCAAACUGUCCAUUCCCUUAAGGAUGGUCUCUCUUACCACCAGCCUCUCCUCCACUUCCUCCUCCAUCUCCAAUAAAACCCAGAGCCCUCCCUGGGCCCCACUCAGGUGCUUCCCCUGCCGACUGUCACUCAUCAGAUUCCUCUUUCAGCCCCCUCUCCUUCUCCUUCCCUUUCUCUGUCUCUGUUAAAGAUCCCUGCUCCCACCUCCAGACCCUCACUGCAGGAAGGUCAGCUCCUGAGUGCCCACCUGCACAAGGACUCACUCAGAUUUACAUGGGACUGUCAAAGACUUUCCUGACACUGAAAAUAGGGAUGUGUUUAGUCAUGAAUUCAGUCUGGUCCUCCAGGCUGUUCUCCUGGGCUUUCUGAUUUAUACCAACUUUUGCAGGUGUCUGUGCACCAGACAUACCAUUUUAUGUUUCAAUAAAGCCAAAUAGGCUACUCUUCAUGAAGACUUUCAAAGAAAGCAGGACAUCCCUGAUGCUUAUAGACUAAAACCUUAGAGGAAAGACUUUGGAAUCCAUUCCCUCUGUUUCCUUUCAAAAACAGAUUGGCCAAAGGCAUGGCAUUUCAGUCCACAAAGAGAGAAAUCUGCCUGUAACUGUAGAUGUGGAUUAGAGGGCAUUAAGUAGAGUGACUCUGGUCUUGGCUCUUGGUGACUGAGUUACUCUGUUUCUGUUACUGUUUUAGUUUGCUUUCUGUUACUAUAGCAUGAUCACAGAGACUGGGUGAAUUAUAAGCAAAAGAAGUUUAUUUGGAUCAGGAUUAGGUGACUUAUGAUGUUCGAGAGGAUGAUGUUGGCAUCUAGUAAGGGCCUUUCUACUGCAUCUAUCUGGCUAAAGACACAGAGAGAGGAACUGUGGUUGAACUCAACCUUUGUAUCAGUCACAAGAUAACAAACCCAGGCCUGUGAUAUCAGCAUUAAGACAUUCAUGAUUCCUCUUGAGAUGCUCACUCCACUGACACAGGCUCAGUCUGGAAGGCUGAACCUCUCGGUGUUGAAAUAGAACUUUCUGUGCCACUCCCAACAUUACCAUAAUAUCCUCUAGAGCAAGGAUCCUCUGAAGUAUCCAGCCUAUAAUUCAAGGUCUCCUUGGCGACGAUGAGCUCUUAGCUCCCAUCUUUAGUUCCAGUGAUAAUCUCAUCCUCUGAAUAAAGAAGCCAAAUAGGUUGCCAGCUAAUCCAAGACUUGUGAGCAAUAAGCAAAAUAGUCAAUCCCAAGUGUCCUCCACCUGUGGAGGACCUCCACACCAUCUGGCCUCUGUCCACCCCUCCUGCAGUCAUCAACCACCCACGCUGGGUUUCUCUUAGCAAACCUCCAACCCCCAGGCACAAUACCCCUUUGCCUUCCCAUGGAUAGGUCAGCAAUGCAUGGGGACCAUCAUGCCUCAGGGGUUUACUGAGGUCCCUACUGACUUUUCUCUAGGACACCAAAUGCAGACCUGAGAGAUCUAACCUUCCUCGGCAACUCUGUCCUCAUCCAGUGUGUAGGUGACAUUUUUCUGUGUACGUCCGAUCUUGGCAGCUCAGUUAUCACCACCUGCUAUUUACUCCGUGCAUUUGCCCACAGGGGACAUCAGUUCACUAAAACCAAGGCGCAGUGAUGGGGUCCUCAAGUUGCAACCCCAGGGGCGAGCUAUCUCCUGUGAAAGGAAGAGCUCAUUCUCUGCAGAAUCAACACCAUCGUUGAUUUUCCUCUUCCUAAGAGUAAAUGCUGCUGUCAGAUGAGUCCCAACCACUGCUGGCUCGGUAGGAGUGAUCCACUCCAUCUGUACACUCACUCCAUGAAGUUCAGAGCCUGCUGCUCACUAGAGAAUACCCAGCACCCGUUCCCACACUCGUCUCCUGCAAAAUCACACCACUGCCUCCCUCUUGCACCACCAUCUGUGGCUCCAAAAAUCUCAAUUCAGCCACCCUCCCUCCCUCUCCUUUGAGGGUCGACCUCAGGACUGCUUCAACACCAGGCCAUCUCUAGCCCUUCCACACCAGGACACCACUAAAACGGCUCUCCGAGGCCCUCAAUUUAUAUUCUGUGGCUGGUUCUCCCCUUGAGUUACAAGUGAGAAGUUUCAAUGGUGCUUACUUCAAGCUAAAAAUGAGAAAUUUCAAUGAUCAGAUUGCCAUCACCUCACUGAGUUCCAGUCCAUACCUGAGGUUAAUUUGACCCAAGUGUUUGAACCGAUGGCCCUCGCCUGAGCUUCCACACUAGCAUGAGAUAAGAGACCCAGUGUUCACGGAUAGCCAAUAUGCUGUGGGGAUUGUGCACCAUUCUGCUAUGGACAGAGGCCUCAUGACAGCUGCAGGGACACUCAUCAAAAAAAGGAACCCGUACUGGGCAAUGAUAUCGGUCAAAUUACAUUUUAUAUUGAGUGCAUGGAAUGAAUAAGUAACAACAAAUCCCACCACUGUGUACAACUCUAAUGCAAAUUGCUAACCUAAGACAGUCUUUGCUGCUGCCCACUGAACUGUUCCCAAAUCUGUUAUCACUCUAGUACUCAGACCUCCAAAGUGAGAGGAAACUCCUUGUCUGACAGGAAGACAGCUGCUUCCCAAGAAAACCCUUCCUGAUGGCCUGCAGAACCUCCUUCAGUGACAGAAACUCUGCUCCAGAAACUUCAGGCACAACAACUGCUAUCUCGUGAGCCUGGUAAAAGUAACUGGAAACAAGUUGGGUGCUCUAUUCACCCAGAUGAACCUUGGCAGCACCCAGAUGAUCAGCACCCAGAUGACUUAACAUCCCUCACCUGAAGUUCUGUCUGGACCUUCUGGAACAUGACACAUGGUAAAGGAAAUCUGAAAGGCCUCCUGAUGGUGAAUUUUAUGUGCCAACUUGACUGGAUUACAGGUGCCCAGAUAGCUGGUGAAACAUUAUUUCUGUGAGUUGUGGGCUCUGCCCACUGUGGAGGUUCAGGUAGGUCAUGUGGGAGCACUAAGCCUGCGCAGAGGAAAGUACUGGACUCAGUUCCACAGGAUUUAGCUACAAAUUCCUCCCAUGAAUAUUGUUUUUAUUUUUCUUUAUGAAUGUUUUCUAAGGACAAUGAAAUAAUCCAGUUUCCUUAAGAUCAGUGAUUUUUAACCCAGGAUAAUCUUGCUCUUCAGGAACAUUUGGCAAUGUCAAGAGACACUUUCCACCGUCACAAUCUGAGGGGACUAAAGGCUAUCAGCAUCUAGGAGGUGAAGGCCAGGGACAAUGCUACCCAUCCUGUAAUGUGUAAGACAGCCCCAGGGCAAAGAAUAAUUCUGCCCCAAGUGUCCCAGGAGUGCAGGUGUUGGGAACCAACCCUCGGCUUAGACGACAAUGUGUUUCCACGACACUCUCCAACUUUAUUUGAGGAACAAAAAGAACUUACCCAGUUUGCUCCAGGGAUGGAGGCUGAUUCUUACAGUACUGUUCUGCCUUUGAAUUUUAUGAGUUUCUGUGUGGAAAUAGAAACAAAAUCAUGGUCUUGUUUCUGUACAAAAAUUGGUGUUGGUCCCAUCGUGAAGGGCCACUCUAGGAAAUAAGGUAUUGGUGCUGAAAGAGAUGCUUCAACGUGGCGGUAGCACGGGGCCCUGGCUCCCAUGCCAGCUUGCUGGGUGUCUUUGGGAGAGUUGCUGUCCUCUGGGGGAGGAACUGAGGCCUCUUCACACCCCACUGCUGGGUGCAGGAGAGCUGAUCCGAGAACAAGUCCAUGCAUGAAUCAGCCCAGAGAGCUACUAAAGCACAACAAAAUCAUAGAGGAAUAAGGAAGGACCAACCACCCUGGCUCUGCCCUUCCACUCCCCAUGUGCUCACUGUGUGGCCCACUUCCCCUCAUCUGUGUGGGCUUGAGAGCCAGCUGUUGAGAAAGGACAAGGUCUGGCCACCAGGAAGGCCAGCUGGGGGUGAGCUCCCCGCUCCAGCGAGGGUGAGGCCCUGGUUAUGUGAGAACAGGCUGGGCAGAGGGAGCCCUGUGGCAUGUUUUCAAAAUGAGGUCUGGGGUGAGCAGUGGCCUGGGAGCGCAGUCAGCCCUCGGGUCCAACCCAGGGGAGACUGAGAGUAUCCAGAACAACACUACACUCUACUGAACAUGGGUGUUUUUUCCCUUGUAAAAAAACAACAUCAACAAAAAAACAGUGUGAUAAGUAUUUACAUAGCAUUUCCAUUGUGUGUGUGUGUGUGUGCAUAUACACGUAUAUACAUAUAUAUACACACACUAUAUAUAUGCAUAUAUACACACACAUAUAUAUAGUUCUAGUUAUAUGUAAAUGUUAUGUCAUUUUUUUGGGGUGACAGACUUGAACAUCAUGGAUUUUGGUCUCCUGGGGAACAUGUGGGUGCCUGAAUCCGAGGAUGCCAAGAAAAAAACUAUACUCUCAAGAAAGAAAUGGGGACUGGCCUCCGAUAUUUUAAUAUCCCUCUUUGAAAAGAUCUAUUCAUUUUUCUGGGGUGAAUUAUAGCUUGCGAUGAUUUGUCUUAUUAGUAUAACUCCAGAAGCUGAAUUUCUGUUUUUAAUUGGAAAGAAGUUGAUGGGUGUUUUCUUUUUAAAAUUCAUUUUUGGUUUUAGAAACAGGUCGAGUAGGUGAUUUAAUGAAUAUACGUAUUAAAUCCUUAUAAGUUUUACAUAGGUAAUCCAUGCACAUGGUAAGUAAUAUAAAUAUUAAAAAAGGUGUACAGAGAAAGAAAUAAGUCUUCCUCCUUAUCUCAGGAGCAGAAGAUCCUUAUUUUAUUAACAACUUGGUCUUGGGGGAACUGGAGAAGUUGAAGAGUUGAUGAUUUAGGGGAGCAUACCCCAAAGUGAGGUUUUCUAUGUGACAUCUCAGGAAAAAACAGGGUCCCUGGCCAGAGGCUGGAUGGGGUCAGGAAGACAAGGGAAAUAAAUGAUCACACACAAUUUAGAUAGUUGUUUGGCUGCUUCAUUUAGAAAAACUAGAAGGAAAAACAUGACACCCCACCACCACCACAAACAACAACAACAACAACAAUAACACCCCUCCAAAACAAACAAACAAACAAACAAAAAACCCACAGAGGAAUAGCAACGGGGCAAGAAUUGGAAGUUUGGAGUUACAGGUUGGACUCGUAUUGAAUUUUCUUCUGGAAUAGUUCACUAAGGUGUAUUCAUCAAUGACUUACGUACUUCCUCCUGUGCCGUUAUUUUCAGAGUAGUUGGCUAACACAGUGGAGUAACCAUUGUCUUUCUAUGUUUCAGAAAAUUCUGAUUUGGAUGAUGCCUCCAACGCUCAGCCAGGGACUUCACAUGCUCACCCUGUGCUUGCUCUGAGUCCAGCUGGACUCCCAUGUUUUGGGGUCCUCUGUGGGAUUCUGCACUCCAGGGGCAUCACCGAUCUCAUGUGAAUGGGUCAGCAGGGAAGAGUGGACCCCCAUAUUGUAUAUAGCUUCUCUGCUCAAGUGCAUGCUCCUGUAGGACUUCCCUUCUAAGCCCUAAGUUAAAAAAUAAUAUUAUUGAGAAUUUCAAGGUGGCAGCAGCAGAAUAUCACACCAAGUGCGAGACCCCUCUGGGCACCGGGGCCCGUGCAUCACCUGUGUAGCAAUCCCUGCUGAGGGGUCUUGAAACCAUGAGAUAAGCCACCUGAGGCUAAAAGCAGUGUCUUGAGGAUGGAAGAGCCAGGCGUUGGGAGGAACUGGGUAUCCUGAUGACCUGGAUGAACCAUCAGUUUUAAUCUCUUGGGACCUAAACAGACUUCCUAUCAUCUGAGAUAAAAAUAUCGUUGUUUUAAAGGCUGGGUUAAGCUCAGCAUUCUGUUACUUGCAGUAGAAACCUUUCUAGUGUAUACGGGAGGACGAUUUGUCUAUAAUAAGUGAAUGCCAUACUAAUGUACCUCCUUUUCCCUUACCUGUCUGCAGGUCACUGUCCUACACUUCUGACAAAGGUGGCCACUUAACUCUGACUACCUCUUAGUCCUGAGAAGACUUUGGAACUCAAAAGCUAAGAAGACUAAGGGACCAUGUUGGAAAUCAAACUUUGCAAUUGGAUUCCAGAUGAAUGCCAUUCCAAACAAUUAUCGAGCCAAAAUUCCCUCCAUAAAGAUGCUGUAUUUACACACACUUCUUCUUUUUCUAAUUUUUUAAUUUGUUCUUUUUAGUUGUAUAUGACAAUAGAGUGUAUUUUGACAUAUCAUACAUACAUGGAAUGUAACUUCCAUUCCUCUGGUUGUACAUGAUGUGGAGCUACACUGGUCGUGUAUUAAUAUAGGAACAUAGGAAAAUUAUGUCCAAUUCAUUCUGCCCUCUUUCCUAUUUUUCAUUCCCCUCCCUUACCUUCAUUACCCUUUGUCUAAUCCAGUGAACUUCUAUUCCUCCCUCCCCACUUCCCUUAUUGUGAGUUAGCAUCCACAUGUCAGAAAGAACAAUUAGCCUUUGGUUCUUUGAGAUUGGCUUAUUUCAUUUAACAUGAUACUCUCCAGCUCCAUUCAUUUAUCUGCAAAUGCCAUAAUUUAAUUCUUCUUUAUGGCUGAGUAAUAUUCCAUUGUGUAUAUGAACCAUAUUUCUUUUGUCCACUCAUCUGUUGAAGGGAACCUAGGUUGAUUCCCUAGUUUAGCUAUUGUGAAUUGAGCUGCUAUAAACAUUGAUGUGGCUGUGUCACUGUAGUAUGCUUAUUUUAAGUCCUUUGAAUAUAUGCCAAGGAGUGGCAUAACUGGGCCAAAUGGUAGUUCCAUUCCAAGUUUUCUGAGGGAUCUCCAAACUGCUUUCCAUAGUGGUUGCACCAAUUUGCAGUCCCACCAGCAAUGUAUGAGUGUACCUUUUUCCCUACAUCCUCACCCAUAUUUAUUGUUAUUUGUAUUCUUGAUAAUUGCCAUUCUGACUGGAGUGAGAUGGAAUCUCAGAAAUGAGAUGGAAUCUCAUUUCUCUAAUUACUAGAGAUGAUGAACAUUUUUUCAUAUAUUUGUUGAAUGAUCAUAUUUUUUCUUCUGUAAAGUGCCUGUUCAGUUCCUUAGCCCCUUUAUUGAGUUAUUUGGGGUUUUUUUUUUUUUUGUGUGUGUGUGUUAAGUUUUUUGAGUUAUUUAUAUAUCCUGGAGAUUAAUGCUUUAUCUGAGGUGCAGAUAGCAAAGAUUUCCUCCCGUUCCGUAGGCUCUCUCUUCAGGUUCUUGAUUGUCUUCUUUGCUGACAUGCAUGACUUGUUUAGGUAAAUGAAUUACUUUGUAAUGGUCACCUGAUCACACCCAGAGUUAAGUUAAUUUUCUGUGUCUCAAUGUCCCUCUGUGUAAAUUCCUUAUGCUUUCAACCUCAGGGUCAUUUUGUUUAAGUGGUGGAAAAAUAAUAGCAAACUGUGGACCUCAGAAUGUGACCUCAGAAACCAUUAGCCCAACUAUAGGGCCAUGGCAAGAAAAAAAUCUUACAGGCAAUUCUACCAGGCUGUGAAUGUUCAUCCACCUUUCCUGGGUUUGCUAAGUGCCCACCCAGGCCGCUUUAAUCAUGGUACCAAGGCCUCCGUGGAUAUUGCUGACUUUACAGACUCAAAGCCACCCCCUUUCCUCGGAGGAGAACCUAGGAGCUGUUGGGUUAAGACCUGACCUAUGGCCCCAGAUGCUCACUAAUGUCACAGUUGGGAGGAUUCAGGGAGAAUGAACUCGAGUAGCUGAGAAAUGCUACUGACAUUUGAUAAAAUUGCUGUCGACAUUCUUAAGUGCCUGCAAUUCAUAGACUCACAGAAGUUUAUGGCUGCAAACAUCCUUUAAAGGUGACCUGAUUUCCUCCUACCGUGGAGGUAAUUGAGACGCGGGUGAGCUUUGCUCAAGGUCGGGCCAUGAAUGCUCAUUCUGGACUAGGCGUCCUGCUUCCUUGCCCGGUGCCCUGUCUGCACACCUACUGUUUACUCUAAUUUAUUGCAGGUUCUAUUACCACAGUCCCCUCUGAUUGGUUUAUGUUUGUGGACAGUCUCUUGAGGAUAAGAUUACACUUUUUUUUUUUUUUGGUAUAAUUUUCCACCAUACUCCCUGCUUCCCAAUGCCUCAGUGCUCUAGGGUCACAGUUGCUGAGAUUCUGGCUGAAACCAGUCAGAGAGAUCUUCUUGCCAAGUGACUUUUGCCCAGCCAGCAGGUCUGAGCAGCUGGGCGCCAACCAGAGUCUCAGUUUUAUUUUUUUCUGAUAUGUGUUACACAUCACCCUUGAGCUGAUUUGCUCAGGCUCCAAAAUGUGCCCCAGUUACUCUGCACACCCUCAGGGUCACACCGUAUCAGGUCUGGAAGGAGAUUUGGAGAGAAUCUAGUCCUGUGGUUCCCUAACUGUGCUCUAAGGAACCCUAGAGAGUGUCUGGGGGUACCUUUCAUUUGACCUGGAAGAACAGAUGGGCUAGGGCCCUGAGCAGACCCAGGUUGGGGUUUUGGUCCCCUGUCCUGAAUUCUUUUAUUUGAGUCUGGUUCUGUGUUAGAUUUCUUGUGAAGAAAGGACUUUGAUGCUAGAAAAUGACUAACGGGCAUGGAUCUAGUGUGUGGUCUCAUUUUCAAGUCAAGAAAACAGAGGCUCAGAGUGAAGAGGGCCCUGUGAUCAAUACCCACACAACUGGGCACCUCGCAGGUGACAGAAGGCGGGCAGAGAACUGUCCACAGAUGCCCCCUCACGACCCCGCAGGGAUGGCCUGGCGCUUGAUGGAGACUCAAUCUUCAGAAACGAACUGUGUUUUCAUCUGGGAAAGAAGAGGGACCAAGUCAACAGUGCUUGAGUGAUUGCUGUUUGACAGCCAUAGAAAAUGUCUUCUCUGACUCAGGGCAGAUUCCGUCCCUGCCUGUUGGGGACUUUCUUUCAGCCCCACGUGGGGCCUGCAGAAGCCAUACCCUUUUCCAGGAAGGAGAAGGGACUUACAGGGUAACACAGCUCCUAAGCAGCAGCACCACAUCCAAGCUGACCACCGUGUCACUCCCAGCUGGCUCUGCGAAGACACGUUUUGUUUUUUUAAGGCUCAGGAAGCUGCCAGUUGCAUGUAAGACUUCCAGAGAGUUGAACUCAAUGAAAAACAAAAAUGGAAAAAAACAAAAACAAAAACAACCUUGAAUUUCUCUAUGUCCUGUUUGGAAAAUGGCGGGGUCCUCACGGCCUGCUCUGGUGGGAGGUGGGCAUGUGGGACGUCUUCUCUCUCUGUUCAGGCUCUGGUGACUCACUCACAUGCGACUUCAGCUCCGUCUCCAGCUCACAGUGGAAAAUGCUGCUCAUCUUGCCACUUGGCUGCAGGGUGGGUCUUGGAGCAGCUGUCCCUCGGGGGACAUGGGUGAGGCAGAGCACUGUGUGUGUGAACGCCAGAGAUGAGAGAUAGCAAAUGUGCCUCGGAGGGAGGGAGGGCUCAUUCCCAUGCACAAGGGACAUCGUCACCUGACCUAGGCUUUCCAACGACAUUGUGUCUCCGGACAGAGGCAGCAACUUCUGAAGCCAUUUCAGGUCCUAUUUGUUCAUCACAUUUGAGGUCCUUCCCUGGUGGGCUCUGCUCAGUUCCUGGUUAUAAAAAUAAAGAUUCUUCACAAAGAUCAGGAGUCAUUUGGAAUAAAAGGCACAG